rnacentral:lncRNA from 1 species
AAUACAUGAACUUGAGUCCCACAUUGGAAAAGAAGAGAAAGUAUCUACUCCUUAGUAGGCUUAUGAUUAGAGUUUGAGGCUUGAGAAAGGUUUAGGAAAAAUUUCAGAAGCUAGGGUUUUUGGUUCGAGAUUUGGAUUUACCCAAACUAAUUUUGUGAAAAUAAAGUACAUAAGUAAUUACUAUUGAUUAAGUAAUUUAUGAAACGAGCAAAAUACUUGUCACA